UCUCCGUUAUCCGGAGCAGUCCUCGUAGAGUUCUCCCUUGCGGGUAGCAACUACGAGUAAGGGUUGCGCUCGUUGCGGGACUUAACCCGACAUCUCACGACACGAGCUGACGACAGCCAUGCAACACCUUCGCAUGUUCUACCGGUAAAGGUGUCAUUCUACUUUCAUAGAACUAAUCCAUGCGCUUCGAGCCCGGGUAAGGUUCUUCGCGUUGCAUCGAAUUAAGCAACAUGCUCCACCGCUUGUGUGAGCCCCCGUCAAUUCAUUUGAGUUUCAGCCUUGCGACCAUACUCCCCAGGCGGGAUACUUAACGCUUUUGCUCCGGCAAGGAACCCCUUGCAGGGUCCCCUACUUAGUAUCCAUCGUUUAGGGCGUGGACUAC
rnacentral:misc_RNA from 1 species